rnacentral:snoRNA from 1 species
UGCCCAAUGAGGAAUUAAAGACCUCUUGAUAGGAAGCGCCGUAUGACUCUUAUAACACCAGUUGUGCCCACAUAGUCCUUUCCUAUUUCUUUUCUCUUGAUGUUAUCCUCCUCAAAUCCUUUUAUAGGUUUGUGUUUUGAGGGUUCUCUAAAAGAAAGAUCUAUGGAGUUCAGAGGACUUGUGGUUCAGCUGUGUGUGUGUGUGAUUUUAAAUGGGUCACUGAGGGCU